rnacentral:rRNA from 1 species
UACGGAGGGGGCUAGCGUUGUUCGGAAUUACUGGGCGUAAAGCGCGCGCAGGCGGUCCUUUAAGUCGGGGGUGAAAGCCCAGAGCUCAACUCUGGAACUGCCUUCGAAACUAGAGGACUUGGGUACGGGAGAGGUGAGUGGAAUUCCGAGUGUAGAGGUGAAAUUCGUAGAUAUUCGCAAGAACACCAGUGGCGAAGGCGGCUCACUGGCCCGGUACUGACGCUGAGGUGCGAAAGCGUGGGGAGCAAACAGG